CAGAUUGUAGCGUAAUUGGUAACGCAUCUGCAUUGGGUGCAGGGUAUUGGGGGUUCAAGUCCUCCCGAUCUGA
rnacentral:tRNA from 1 species